ACUUUGUCCUUGCUCACCAAAGAGGGCCGAGGUCGUUACGAGGUUCCGGGAGCGGGCCUGGCGGCCAUCGCCUUCUCCAGCGUUGGUUUUUUCUGGUUACACUUGGGAGGUAAAAAGACAAAGUCUUUUGAUAGUUGAUUUGGAAGAGCAGGUUUGGGACGAAAAGAAGACUACAACAAAUAUGUGACGCCAAGCCUCAAGAUGAUGGCAUUUCUACCAUUUCAGGUUGCGGUGAUAGAAGAGCUGGAGGCGAAAGUUAAAUAAAUAAUAACAAAGAUGUUGCACAAGACAAUAUAAAGGAGCUCCAGGUUCUUAUACAUAAGUUGGUCACAUUUUCGGUGCCGACCCUCAGUGUAGUCAUCGCCUUGGCUGCUGUAUUAACUUACAUGUAUAUAUGUAGCUAGAGUAAUUAUUCCAACCAUGUAGAUUCUUCGUUCCUGUAUCUUGGAAAUCAUGUGCUCAAUAGUAAUCCAGUUUGGUACUA